UGAGAGAGAGAUUUGGUUGCGUUUGAGAGACUUUGAGAGUAAAGAUUGUGAGGGCGAUACCGAGAGAAGAGAGAGCGAGGGAGAGAGUUUGGAAAGGUUGAUUCGUGAGGUUAGGGAGAAAGGAAGAAGACGAGCUUCUGUUGUUUUCUUUCGUUUCCAUUUUUUUUCUGUUUUCUUUUUUUAAUUAAUUUCUUUUUUAUUCAUCUAACUUAACCUUUUUUACAGGGAUAAUAUAAAAACCAUGAAAAUGUUUGUUUUGUUUUUUUAUUUUAAAUUUUUAUUCCGGUUCAUAUAUUUAGGGUAGUAUCUCAAUAGCAGAUAGUAUUGAGUGGCCUAGUGGAGAGAGUUUAGUUGCAUAAUAUUAGGUGGAGAGGGUUCGAUACUCAUGUGAGGUACUUUUUGCUUAUUAUUUGAUUUUAUCUUCCUUUAGCAUUUUUUAUCCUCUUAGUAUUUUGUUAAUAUCUUCUUUUUAUGUUUAUUAUACUCAUGAUUUCAUUUGUUAAUAAUGCAUAGUUGUUGUAUUUUAGUUUAGUUCAAAACCAUUUUU
rnacentral:lncRNA from 1 species